rnacentral:rRNA from 1 species
AUACGUAGGGGACAAGCGUUGUCCGGAACGACUGGGCGUAAAGGGCGCGUAGGCGGUCUGAUAAGUCAGAUGUGAAAGGUACCGGCUCAACCGGUGACGUGCAUUUGAAACUGUCAGACUUGAGUAUUGGAGAGGCAAGUGGAAUUCCUAGUGUAGCGGUGAAAUGCGUAGAUAUUAGGAGGAACACCAGUGGCGAAGGCGGCUUGCUGGACAAAUACUGACGCUGAGGUGCGAAAGCGUGGGGAGC